CGAUGAGGUUAUGUACCCAAGAAUAUCACCUGCUGACAGAACCAAGAAAGCUAAAAACUGAUGAAGAUUCUCAUAAAGCUCCUGCUAUCCAAUGAUGGGCAAAUAACUUAAUUCAGUAGAAGUUUAUAGAGAAUGAAAAAUGACAGGAUAUCUAGACAACUAUUGGGGAAGAGAGUAAGGCAUUGGCAUAAUGAGGAGACAUUGGAAAAUUCCCUUAUGUUGGGAAAGAAUCAAGGCAAAGGAGAAGGAGAAAGCAGAGGAUGAGAUGUAUAGAUACUGGCAGGAGCUUGAACAGCCUUCAGGAGAUGGUGGAAGACAGAAGGGCCUGACAUACUGUGUUCCAUAGAGUCAUGCAGAGUCAGCCAGGACUGAAGAAAUGAACACCAACAAGCAAUGGGGUGAACUCUAUGACCUCCAAAGAUCUUUCCCAGUUCUGAAAUCCUAGGAUUAUGUGCUUGGCUCCAAUUUGGAUGUUUAUUUACCCAAGGAUUACCCUCAAGCCAUCUCCUUCAAUAACUACAAAAUGGAAGUUCUGGUGCCCUAAUUAAAUCAUUGCAUGUUUAGAUGA